CAGCACAGAGAGCAGAACUAGAAGCAUUAAAAACAGUACUGACACUUGAGGAAAAAGAAGGGCAUCCCCUAGUGAUAUAUAGUGAUAGUUCAUAUGUAGUUAGAUCACUUACAGAACAUUUAGCUAUAUGGAAAAGAAGGGGGUUCGUAGAUGCCUCAAAUAAAGUGUUAGCACACAAAGAGACACUAGAGACCAUAUUUGGAAUUGCGUCUCAAGAGCCAUGUUUACAUGCUAUAGUUAAAGUUCCU